AAGUGCCGUUUAAAUAGGGCGGGUACCUUGACGGUACCUGACGAGAAAGCCACGGCUAACUACGUGCCAGCAGCCGCGGUAAUACGUAGGUGGCAAGCGUUGUCCGGAAUUAUUGGGCGUAAAGCGCGCGCAGGCGGCUAUGUAAGUCUGAUGUUAAAGCCCGGGGCUCAACCCCGGUUCGCAUCGGAAACUGUGUAGCUUGAGUGCAGGAGAGGAAAGUGGUAUUCCACGUGUAGCGGUGAAAUGCGUAGAGAUGUGGAGGAACACCAGUGGCGAAGGCGGCUUUCUGGUCUGUAACUUGACACUGAGGCGCGAAUGCGUGGGGAGCACACAGGAUUAGAUACCCUGGUAGUUCCACGCCGUAAACAAUGAGUGCUACGGUGUUGGGGGUUUCCACUACCC
rnacentral:rRNA from 1 species